AUUGAACGCUGGCGGCAUGCCUUACACAUGCAAGUCGAACGGCAGCACGGGAGCAAUCCUGGUGGCGAGUGGCGAACGGGUGAGUAAUAUAUCGGAACGUGCCCAGUCGUGGGGGAUAACGUAGCGAAAGUUACGCUAAUACCGCAUACGAUCUAUGGAUGAAAGCGGGGGAUCGCAAGACCUCGCGCGAUUGGAGCGGCCGAUAUCUGAUUAGCUAGUUGGUGAGGUAAAGGCUCACCAAGGCGACGAUCAGUAGCUGGUUUGAGAGAACGACCAGCCACACUGGAACUGAGACACGGUCCAGACUCCUACGGGAGGCAGCAGUGGGGAAUUUUGGACAAUGGGGGCAACCCUGAUCCAGCAAUGCCGCGUGAGUGAAGAAGGCCUUCGGGUUGUAAAGCUCUUUUGUCAGGGAAGAAACGGUGAUUUCUAAUACAGAUUGCUAAUGACGGUACCUGAAGAAUAAGCACCGGCUAACUACGUGCCAGCAGCCGCGGUAAUACGUAGGGUGCAAGCGUUAAUCGGAAUUACUGGGCGUAAAGCGUGCGCAGGCGGUUAUAUAAGUCAGAUGUGAAAUCCCUGGGCUCAACCUAGGAACUGCAUUUGAGACUGUAUGGCUAGAGUGUGUCAGAGGGGGGUAGAAUUCCACGUGUAGCAGUGAAAUGCGUAGAUAUGUGGAGGAAUACCGAUGGCGAAGGCAGCCCCCUGGGUCGAUACUGACGCUCAUGCACGAAAGCGUGGGGAGCAAACAGAAUUAGAUACCCUGGUAGUCCACGCCCUAAACGAUGUCAACUAGGUGUUGGGGGAGGAGACUUCCUUAGUACCGCAGCUAACGCGUGAAGUUGACCCCCUGGGGAGUACGGUCGCAAGAUUUAAACUCAAAGGAAUUGACGGGGACCCGCACCAGCGGGGGGAUUAUGUGGGAUUAAUUCGAAUGCCACGCGAAAAACCCUUACCCACCCCUUG
rnacentral:rRNA from 1 species